GAGAGCUUGCUCUCGGGUGACGAGCGGCGGACGGGUGAGUAAUGUCUGGGAAACUGCCUGAUGGAGGGGGAUAACUACUGGAAACGGUAGCUAAUACCGCAUAACGUCGCAAGACCAAAGUGGGGGACCUUCGGGCCUCAUGCCAUCAGAUGUGCCCAGAUGGGAUUAGCUAGUAGGUGGGGUAACGGCUCACCUAGGCGACGAUCCCUAGCUGGUCUGAGAGGAUGACCAGCCACACUGGAACUGAGACACGGUCCAGACUCCUACGGGAGGCAGCAGUGGGGAAUAUUGCACAAUGGGCGCAAGCCUGAUGCAGCCAUGCCGCGUGUGUGAAGAAGGCCUUCGGGUUGUAAAGCACUUUCAGCGGGGAGGAAGGCGUUAAGGUUAAUAACCUUGGCGAUUGACGUUACCCGCAGAAGAAGCACCGGCUAACUCCGUGCCAGCAGCCGCGGUAAUACGGAGGGUGCAAGCGUUAAUCGGAAUUACUGGGCGUAAAGCGCACGCAGGCGGUCUGUCAAGUCGGAUGUGAAAUCCCCGGGCUCAACCUGGGAACUGCAUUCGAAACUGGCAGGCUAGAGUCUUGUAGAGGGGGGUAGAAUUCCAGGUGUAGCGGUGAAAUGCGUAGAGAUCUGGAGGAAUACCGGUGGCGAAGGCGGCCCCCUGGACAAAGACUGACGCUCAGGUGCGAAAGCGUGGGGAGCGAACAGGAUUAGAUACCCUGGUAGUCCACGCCGUAAACGAUGUCGAUUUGGAGGUUG
rnacentral:rRNA from 1 species